rnacentral:rRNA from 1 species
AGUGAACGCUGGCGGUAGGCCUAACACAUGCAAGUCGAACGGCAGCACAGUAAGAGCUUGCUCUUACGGGUGGCGAGUGGCGGACGGGUGAGGAAUACAUCGGAAUCUACUUUUUCGUGGGGGAUAACGUAGGGAAACUUACGCUAAUACCGCAUACGACCUACGGGUGAAAGCAGGGGAUCUUCGGACCUUGCGCGAUUGAAUGAGCCGAUGUCGGAUUAGCUAGUUGGCGGGGUAAAGGCCCACCAAGGCGACGAUGCGUAGCUGGUCUGAGAGGAUGAUCAGCCGCACUGGAGCUGAGACACGGUCCAGACUCCGACGGGAGGCAGCAGUGGGAAAUAUUGGACAAGGGGCGCAAGCCUGAUCCAGCCAUACCGCGUGGGUGAAGAAGGCCUUCGGGUUGUAAAGCCCUUUUGUUGGGAAAGAACAGCAGCAGGUUAAUCCCCCGCUGUUCUGCCGGUACCCAAAGAAUAGGCACCGGCUACCUUCGG